rnacentral:rRNA from 1 species
AAUGAACGCUGGCGGCGUGCCUAACACAUGCAAGUCGAGCGAACAGACCAGGAGCUUGCUCCUUUGACGGUAGCGGCGGACGGGUGAGUAACACGUAGCUAACCUCCCUAUAAGACUGGCAUAACUCCGGGAAACCGGAUCCAAUGCCGGAUAAUACGUUGAACCGCACGGUUCUAAAGUGAAAGGCGCCUUUGCCGUCACUUAUAGAUGGACCCGCGCCGUAUUAGCUAGUUGGUGAGGUAACGGCUCACCAAGGCAACGAUACGUAUCCGACCUGAGAGGGUGAUCGGCCACACUGGACCUGAGACACGGUCCAGCCUCCUACGGGAGGCGGCAGUGGGGAAUCUUCGGCAAUGGGCGAAAGCCUGCCGGAGCAACGCCGCGUGAGCGAUGAAGGUUUUCGGUUCGUAAAACUUGGUGAUUAGGGAGGACCAUAUGCGUAAGUAACUGUGCGCGUCUUGACGGUACCUAAUCAGAAAGCCACGGCUAACUACGUG